GCUUCCGUAGCUCAGUUGGUUAGAGCUUCGUACUAAUAAAUGUUAGUGAUGCGGAGGCCGCAGGUUCAAGCCCUGCCGGGAGCA
rfam:Metarhizium majus ARSEF 297 Scaffold_88, whole genome shotgun sequence.